rnacentral:rRNA from 1 species
UACGGAGGAUCCGAGCGUUAUCCGGAUUUAUUGGGUUUAAAGGGUGCGUAGGCGGUUUGAUAAGUUAGAGGUGAAAUGUCGGGGCUCAACCCCGAAACUGCCUUUAAUACUGUUGGACUAGAGAAUAGUUGCGGUAGGCGGAAUGUAUGGUGUAGCGGUGAAAUGCUUAGAGAUCAUACAGAACACCGAUUGCGAAGGCAGCUUACCAAACUAUAUCUGACGUUGAGGCACGAAAGCGUGGGUAGCAAACAGG